CGGGGACACUCCUACCUGAAGAAGUAGGCGGUGAGGAGGAGCAAGAGGAGGAACAGCAGCAGGGGCAGCAGCAGCCAGACUGUGUUUCAGACAUCUCCACAGUGAUCCCUGCCUCUGCAGAGUGGGCUUUGCUUGUUAAAAAGAAAAAGGUGCCAAGGACGGGCUUGUUAUCUCCGUGGUGAAGACUGGAACUUAAUUGCUUUUGAACAAAGGAUGGCUGGAGAUGGUGAGGUACUGGCUGCCUGGACAGAACUGCGCGGGGUGAGGAGGUGCCACAUUUCUGCAGCCUGAGGUCCGUCCGGGGCCGGGCAGCACAGCCCCACAGCUGCCCUCUGUGCACACAGGCCCUGCCUGUCUGGACUGAUGCACUUGCGGCAUCUCUGAGGUACUGGAAGGAGUCUUAGGGUUCAGGAAACUGAAUUCAGAGCACACUCUUCAAAACUCUGGAGGUACCUGCCCUGGUGGUCAGUGGAAGGCUGACAGGGACAGAGAUUUGCCUGCCCCCCCCACACACACACACACAGGCCAGGUGUGUUCAGAGAUGUCUGAUGUCUC